GACGAACGCUGGCGGCGUGCUUAACACAUGCAAGUCGAACGGAAAGGCCCUGCUUGCAGGGUACUCGAGUGGCGAACGGGUGAGUAACACGUGGGUGAUCCGCCCUGCACUUCGGGAUAAGCCUGGGAAACUGGGUCUAAUACCGGAUAUGACCUUCCAUGUAGUGUGGGGGGUGGAAAGAUUUAUCGGUGUGGGAUGAGCCCGCGGCCUAUCAGCUUGUUGGUGGGGUAAUGGCCUACCAAGGCGUCGACGGGUAGCCGGCCUGAGAGGGUGGACGGCCACAUUGGGACUGAGAUACGGCCCAGACUCCUACGGGAGGCAGCAGUGGGGAAUAUUGCACAAUGGGCGGAAGCCUUAUGCAGCGACGCCGCGUGGGGGAUGACGGCCUUCGGGUUGUAAACCUCUUUCGACAGGGACGAAGCUUCGGUGACGGUACCUGUAUAAGAAGCACCGGCUAACUACGUG
rnacentral:rRNA from 1 species